GUAGUAGUAGUCUUUAUUGAGAUUUUUUUUUAACACAAAUUACAUUCUUAAUUUUUAGGAGGUACACAUCCAUAAAUAUACAUAUAUGUUUUUUUUUUUUUUAUUAAUUUGCCGACUUAGAAUUGGUCUGGCUAUACUUAUUAUAUAUUUAAUAUUAACUAAUUUUUAAUGCGAUUCACAGUUUAAAGACAACAGUCUGAUAUAUUUUUAAGAUUAUUAAUACAUCCACUCAAAAAGACGAUACUUAGAUGCAUAAGAAAGAUAACUUAACCUAAAAGAAUGCUUAACCUAAGAGAAUAAUAAAAAAAAAAAGAUAAAAGGAGAAGAAAUGGUAAUGAUUUCACAAUAUGUUUGUUUCUAUCUCCUUACAUAAGAUGAAGCUAGUUUCAAAUGGAGUAGCAUAUAGUUUUUAUUAUUAAAUUUGUAUCCAUGACGUUUUUCCUUUUCAAAGCUGUUGAGCAACUUAGCCUCUGUAGGUGCCUGGGACCCGAUUUUUGUAAAAUGGUGAAGUCAAAAGAUUAUCAUCCUCGAUUUCCAAAACAGCGUUGGACCCUUCAUUGAGGAUACUAAUUGGAGAUAUAUAAUAUCUAUCAUUUAGAGACCAGUUGAUGUUGUUAAUAAAAAUGUUUUGAAGAAGAAAGUUAUCAUGAUAUUGUAA